rnacentral:rRNA from 1 species
GAGGUAGUGACAAGAAAUAACAAUACGGGGCUUAAAGUCUUGUAAUUGGAAUGAUGGGAAUUUAAACCUCUUCCAGAGUAUCAAUUGGAGGGCAAGUCUGGUGCCAGCAGCCGCGGUAAUUCCAGCUCCAAUAGCGUAUAUUAAAAUUGUUGCAGUUAAAAAGCUCGUAGUUGAAUUUCUGCUGCAUUGCUUGUGUCCCUCUGGGGUCUGUGCAUGUGGCUUUUUUCGGACGGAGUUUCUUUGUCUGAAUGUUUACUUUGAGAAAAUUAGAGUGCUCAAAGCAGGCUUUCGCCUUGAAUAGUUUAGCAUGGAAUAAUAAAGUAGGACUUUGGUUCUAUUUUGUUGGUUUUAGGUACCAAAGUAAUGGUUAAUAGGAACAGUUGGGGGCAUUCGUAUUUAACUGUCAGAGGUGAAAUUCUUAGAUUUGUUAAAGACGAACUACUGCGAAAGCAUUUGCCAAGGAUGUUUUCAUUAAUCAAGAACGAAAGUUAGGGGAUCGAAGACGAUCAGAUACCGUCGUAGUCCUAACCAUAAACUAUGCCGACUAGAGAUUGGAGGUCGUCAGUUUUUACGACUCCUUCAGCACCUUGAGAGAAAUCAAAGUCUUUGGGUUCUGGGGGGAGUAUGGU